UUUAGCCCGAGACUUUCAAGCCUACCCUUUACACAUGUGUUUACCACUAGUUGUCCCCGUUGAGCCUUUUGUGUUUGUUUAAUAAGUGCUAAGCACUUAAGCCCGUGAUUU